rnacentral:rRNA from 1 species
AUGGUUGAAGCCUUGGAACUCAAAUUCAGUCUAUCGCUGGUGCAAAGGUCGAGAUGCAAUCACCUUAUCAUUAACUCGAACAUGAUUGAUACCAUGAAGGAUGGAGGACGGUCGGCGGGUGCAGUAGCGGCAAUUUUUGGUGAUUGUUUUUAUUAUGCUUGUGAUUUUAUUAUUACUAGGUUCGAACAUUGUAACAGAGAAGCAAAUAAAGUUGCUCAUGAGCUGCUAGAUCAGCUAGAUUUCUUUGACUUCUGAUUGUUCGAGGAACCGUUAAAUGAAAUUGUAACAACCCUCGUAAAUGAUGUAUUGGUUAUUUCUAAUGAAUAA